rnacentral:tRNA from 1 species
GCGGGUAUAUUCUAGGGGGAAGUAAUUUUUUACAAUAAUUAAUUUAAGCUGUUCGAUUCAGCUUUAUCUGAA